rnacentral:rRNA from 1 species
UACAGAGGUCUCAAGCGUUGUUUCGGAUUCAUUGGGCGUAAAGGGUGCGUAGGCGGCGCGGUAAGUCGGGUGUGAAAUCUUUGGAGCUUAACUCCGAAACUGCAUUCGAUACUGCCGUGCUUGAGGACUGGAGAGGAGACUGGAAUUUACGGUGUAGCGGUGAAAUGCGCAGAUAUCAGGAGGAACACCGGUGGCGAAGGCGGGUCUCUGGGCCGAUACUGACGCUGAGACGCGAAAGCGUGGGGAGCGAACAGG